AAGCCUUCAAAGCUUCCAGCAAAUAUAGUUUAUUUAACUCCUG
rnacentral:tRNA from 1 species